AUUUUUUCAUUUCCUGAAGAAAUUACAUAUUGUUCACUUUUAUUUUUUUGGAGGUUAUCUUAAAUGAAACAAGGUACAGUAAAAUGGUUUAACUCAGAAAAAGGUUUUGGAUUCAUCGAAGUUGAAGGCGAAAACGACGUAUUCGUACACUUCUCAGCUAUCCAAGGCGAAGGUUUCAAAACUCUUGACGAAGGUCAAAAAGUGGAAUUCGAAGUUGUAGAUGGCAACCGCGGACCACAAGCUGCUAACGUAACUAAACUUUAAUUCUCAGUAAUUAAAAAUACUUUCGUUAAAUUAAGGCAUCCUAUGUAAAUAGGAUGCCUUUUU
rnacentral:other from 1 species